CAGGCUGCAACUCGCCUGCACGAAGUUGGAAUUGCUAGUAAUCGCGGAUCAGCAUGCCGCGGUGAAUACGUUCCCGGGUCUUGUACACACCGCCCGUCACACCAUGGGAGUCGGAAAUGCCCGAAGUCUGUGACCUAACCGUAAGGAAGGAGCAGCCGAAGGCAGGUCGGAUGACUGGGGUGAAGUCGUAACAAGGUAAC
rnacentral:rRNA from 1 species